rnacentral:rRNA from 1 species
UACGUAGGGUGCAAGCGUUGUCCGGAAUUAUUGGGCGUAAAGAGCUCGUAGGCGGCUUGUCACGUCGACUGUGAAAACCCGGGGCUCAACUCCGGGCCUGCAGUCGAUACGGGCUGGCUUGAGUGCGGUAGGGGAGACUGGAAUUCCUGGUGUAGCGGUGAAAUGCGCAGAUAUCAGGAGGAACACCGGUGGCGAAGGCGGGCCUCUGGGCCGUAACUGACGCUGAGGAGCGAAAGCGUGGGGAGCGAACAGG